rnacentral:tRNA from 1 species
GCCUGGCUGGCUCAGUUGGUAGAGCAUGUGACUCUUGAUCUCAGGGUCGUGGGUUUAAGCACCACAUUGGGUG